rnacentral:lncRNA from 1 species
AAACGGAGCAGUCUGCACAGAGCCUUAUGUUGAUGUUAUUUGUUCGACAUACAUUUAUAUCGCUCGCCGGUGCUAAUCCAAUAAGCAUGCAUGGUGUUUUAUUCUGUCCCUGUCCUGUGCAGGCAUUGUUGUUGCAGGAGAUAGUUUCUCGUAGGAAGUCACACCCAUUGCCAUUAUCAGAUUGUUACACAGAACACUCUACAUGGUGUUACUAUUGUAUCCUAUGAAUACGGUGGGAGAUGGACCAAGUGAGGAGCAAGUUCCUCUGUUGUAUUGUAUCACAUAACUGGAGUAUAUCAUUUUUAUAAAGUUCAGUAGGAGAUUGCUUUGGACCCUGCAAUAUGUUGUUGCCUGCUAGCUCGUUCCUAAUAAAUUGAGUCCUCCUUUGGUUCAUACGGAUUUUGUAGGAAUUCUAGAGGAUAGGAAUUUUGUAGGAAAAAAAUGAUUUGAAGCACUUUAGUUCGUAGGAAUGGAUUCCUAUUCCUAAGUAGGAUAGGAACAGCCUUCACAUUUCUAAGGAAAAAAAACUUUAGUCCAAUUCAGUUAAAAAAAUUCUAUCCUAUGCAUCAAAUGAUAUGUCUGUCCCUUGCUUUGUUUGGAUGUAGAUAUUGAAAGGCUUGGCAUUGUAUUGGCUUCAAUGCCAAAUAUCUCAAGACAUUGAUAUUGAGCUUCAAUGCCAAAUCUAGUGUUUGGAUGGACAAAGCGAAAAUCUCACUUCCAUAACAUUCAUGAUUUCUUAUUGUCUCUACAGCACACAUACAAACAUGCAUCAGUUUUAAACUGACCACUACUAGUACUCUUAGACUGCAGCAAGACAAAGCCACUGUAUUAUAUUGCACUGAUGCUGUUGCAUAUACUUUUGCACUUCAUUAGUUUCCUAAUUGGUACAGUUACUGACUAGUGUUGCCGUGAUGAGAAGGAGCAAAUGGAGGUACACGAUGCUACACAGUACUGGUGUUGGCGCGCUGACGACUGGAAGGCCACGUACGAGCUGUACGCCUGCAGACUGCAGUUCGUGGAUGAGCUUGGCGGCGUCCCGGGCAACCUGGCCGGCGCCAUGGGCGGCACAUUGAGCCGGCUCGUCGACCGUACCAACGAGUGUUCCUGCUUGCCAUCCGCACCCAGUGCUCGCACCUCCAUACCAGGGUCGUUCGAGUGUCACAACACGCCGAACUGAAUGGGUUGGCAUUCUGCCGAGCAACUCAUGGGCAUGACAGUGCAGGUGUUCUCCCACCUAUAUGUAACGUACAUAAACUGGACACUGCCCUCGAAGCCAUCGGUCAGUUGCGGAUGCUUGCUAGAGUUUCAAUCAUAAAUAUAAAUGAUCAAAGUACGGAAAAUAUGUUAGCUCAUGCCUCUCUCUCAUAUAAAACUGUAAUAAUGAUUAUCGAUUUAGUUAUCGAUUGCUUAGGGACAAACAAUUUUCUUGUGUUACAAAAAGCUUUCUACUACAUUACUAAAUUUAUUAUCUUACAAUUUAUUCAUAGUUUUAUUCUCGCAAAGUAUUUCUAGCUUUAUACUUGUUUUAGAUAAAGUGAACGUUAAGUGUGCGUAGAGUUAUAUCGGUGGUCGAUAGAACUUGAAGAGAAUAUAAAUCCUACAUUUAGAUCCGCGUUGGGUUCGACACUCUUAUUUGUCGAAAAAACAACAAUUGAUCCCUACACUUGUGGGUCAUCAAGACUUUUUUCUGGCGUCGUUGUCGGGGAGUAAUAACGUGGAGUGAAUAUUCUCGUGCGUGCUUGUUUGCUUUAUCACUAAGUAGAUUUUAUUUUCUAUUCUAAGUUGUUCUCUAUCUUUAGUUAUGAAAUGAAACAUGAAAUACUAAAAAAAAUAGUUGUACAUUAUGGAGAUGAAGAACCUUCUAAAAUCCUCGAUGCACAUUAUGUGAAAAAUAUUAAACACUACUUUGAUAAUAUUGAGAACACCCCGUUCAACUUGAUAAUGGGAGACACGUUGGAUCAAUGUGAAUACUUUAGGGAUUAUCGCUUGACUCAAAAAGGAGAAACUCUUAUGGGAUCAAAUUAAUUAUUUGCAAUGGUAUGCUUUGGAUUUAUGCUUGAGACAUGAUAAUACUUGUUGCUCUAGGAUGAAGGCUAAACACCUUUCCUUUUCAUGUGAAUUUAAUGAUAAUAAAACAUUGGCUUCUUAUGCUAAUGGUAAAUAUGAUUACUAUGAUGUGGAACGGAUAUAAUAAUUUGUUACUUUUAAGGGUGCUUAUGAAAUUGAAUUUUUGUUUGAAAAGUAUGAAAAUUAUGACGAUGUUGUUUAUAGACCUAAUUUUUUUGUUACUUAAAUAUUGCAAUGAGGAUUAUAAAUACAAUUUCGAUAUUGAUGUAUUUAUUGAGAAAGUCUCCGUUGUUCAAGAAGAGACUAAUAUUUUGCAGGAAACACAUGGAAGAAGGAAUUGAUAAAAUUGUGAGCUCAUUAGAUGAAAAAAUGAGGAGUAGAGCGAAGAACAAAAGAAGGAAGAGGGGAUUGGCUACCCGUGCCACCUUCUAAUAAGAGUAAUUCAUCAACUUAUAUAUUGUUUAAUUUCCCUUCGUGCUUACCGAAGGAUGAAUGCUAUGAUAAUUGCUAUGACCCCGUUGUUUCGUUUGAAAUAUCCCAUUUUUGAUGAAAUUGAUGCUUGAUAUGGUUGUGGACAAGAUGCCAAUAUGAAUUAUGCUUAUGAAGAUGAAUUUGCUAUAGUUCCUUAUGUUAAGAAUGAAAUUAUUGCUAUUGCACCCAAACAUGAUAGUCUUAUUAUGUUUUUGAAUUCUCCCAACUACACUACAUCGGAGAAGUUUACUCUUAUUAAGGAUUAUAUUGAUGGGUUGCAUAUUACUAUUUCACAUGAUAAUUUUGAUGAAUAUAAUAUGCAUGUGCUUGCUGCUCCUACUUGCAAAUAUUAUGAGAGAUGAACUGUAUCUCCACCUCUAUAUGUUUCCAACACGGUACAAUUGCAAGAAACUACUUAUGCUAUGCAUUGGCCUUUACUUGAUGUGCAUUAAUUGUUUUUUAUGACAUGCCGAUGCAUAGGAAGAGAGUUAGACUUCAUCAUUAUGUGAUAUAUGUUACUUUGUGCUCACCACUAAAUUACAAAUCAUUGUUAAUUAAAAUUGGCUUUGAUAUACCUUGGGAUCCGGGUGGAUCAAUUACUUGAGCACUUUAUGCCUAGCUUAAUGGCUUUAAAGAAAGAGCCGUCAUGGAGACAAUCCGGAAGUUUUUGAGAGUCAUGUGCGCUUUUAUAGAGUUUAAAAACACAAAAAUAUAUAGGGAAAUUUAAAAAGUUUUCCAAAAAUAAAAGAUUGGAAGGUUAUGCAUUGGAGAAGUGAGGGUCGACCUUGAACACUUGUGUUCAUGCUCAUGGAAACAAUGUAGAAGUUUUCAUGGAAGUUUCUCACAAAAAUAAUUAUCCUCUUGUAUAAAUCCAUUGUAUUAUAAAAGUAAUGCACAAAGAUUUGCCUUUAGGAUGAUUAUAUUGCUUGUUUGGUAUGUGCGGUGCAAAAACAGAAACUUAUGCGGUAGUGCGUGAAUUUAUAUUUUUUUACUGGAACAUGCAAAAAUUCUGAAAUUUUUACACGUUACUACCACACAAAUUGUUUAUUUUUUCCUAAUUUUUCAGAAUUUUUGAAGUUACAAAAGUAUGAUCAAUGUUCAUAUUGCUACAAACUGUCAUGUUUUGACAGAUUCUUUUUUUGAUGCAUUGUUUUGCUUGUUUUGAUGGAACUAUGGAGUGUAUCGAGUGGUAUAAGCCAUGGAGAAAUUAGAAUACAGUAGAUAUAAUGCAAAAAUAAAAUAUGAAUGGGUUAGCAACAGUAUUUAAAGUAGUGAUUUGCAUUAUUAUACUAACAGAUCUCAAGAAGAUUUUGUUAAGUUUUGUGUGGAUGAAGUGUUCGAAGAUCGAUGAGGUCUCGAUAUGAGGAGAAGGCGAAGAGAUAGAGUUCAAGCUUGGGGAUGCCCAAGGCACCCUGAUACGUCCAUUUUGCAUCAUGCUUUUAUAUCAGUAUUUAUUGCAUUAUGGGCUGUUAUUUCACAUUAUGUCACAAUACUUAUGGCUAUUCUCUCUUAUUUUACAAGGUUUACAUAAGGAGGGAGAAUGCCGGCAACUGGAAUUCUGGGCUGGAAAAGGAGCAAAUAUUAGAGACCUAUUCUACACAACUCCAAAAGUCCUGAAACUCCACGGAACACCUUAUAAUAAAUAAUCAAAAAUCCUUGCCAAAGAUGAAGACCAGGGGGGCACACCCUUCUCACGAGGGUGGGGGACGCCCCCCCUAGGGCGCGCCCCCUACCUCGUGGGCCCCCUGGUGGCUCUCCGAUGACCAUCUUCUCCUAUAUAAAGUCUUUCGUCGAGAAAAAAAAUAAGAAGCAACCUUUCAGGACGAAACUCCGCCGCCACAAGGCAGAACCUUGGCGGAUCCAAUCUAGAGCUCUGGCAGAGCUGUUUUGCCGGGGAAACUUCCCUCCCGGAGGGGGAAAUCAUCGCCAUCGUCAUCACCAACGCUCCUCUCAUCGGGAGAGCGCAAUCUCCAUCAACAUCUUCAUCAGCACCAUCUCAUCUCAAAACCCUAGUUCAUCUCUUGUAUCCGAUUCUUGUCUUCAAGUCCAGGAUUGGUGCUAGUAGGUUGCUUGUAGUGUUAAUUACUCCUUGUAGUUGACGCUAGUUGGUUUAAUUGGCGGAAGAUCAUAUGUUAAGAUCCUUUAUGCAUAUUAAUACCCCUCUGAUUAUGAACAUGUUUAUGCUUUGUGAGUAGUUACGUUUGUUCCUGAGGACAAGGGAGAAGUCUUGCUAUUAGUAGUCAUGUGAAUUUGGUAUUCGUUCGAUAUUUUGAUGAGAUGUAUGUUGUCUAGCCUCUAGUGGUGUUAUGUGAAUGUCAACUAUAUAACACUUCACCAUUAUUUGGGCCUAGAGGAAGGCAUUGGGAAGUAAUAAGUAGAUGAUGGGUUGCUAGAGUGACAGAAGCUUAAACCCUAGUUUAUGCGUUGCUUCGUAAGGGGCUGAUUUGGAUCCAUAUGUUUCAUGCUAUGGUUAGGUUUACCUUAAUACUUUUAUUGUAGUUGCGGAUGCUUGCAAUAGAGGUUAAUCAUAAGUGGGAUGCUUGUUCAAGUAAGAACAACACCCAAGCACCGGUCCACCCACAUAUCAAAUUAUCAAAGUACCGAACGCGAAUCAUAUGAACGUGAUGAAAACUAGCUUGACGAUCUUCCCAUGUGUCCUCGGGGGCGCUUUUCCUUAUAUAAGAGUUUGUCCAGGCUUGUCCUUUGCUACAAAAAGGAUUGGUCCACCUUGCUGCACUUUAUUUACUUUUGUUACUUGUUGCUCGUUACAAAUUAUCUCAUCACAAAACUAUCUGUUACCACUUAUUUCAGUACUUGCAGAGAAUACCUUGCUGAAAACCGUUUAUCAUUUCCUUCUGCUCCUUGUUGGGUUCGACACUCUUACUUAUCAAAAGGACUACGAUAGAUCCCCUAUACUUAUGGGUUAUCAAGAUUUUUUUCUGGCGCCGUUGCCGGGGAGUGAAGUGCCUUUGGUAGGUGGAAUUUGGUAAGAAAAAAUUUAUAUAGUGUGCUGAAAUUUACUAUCACUUGUUACUAUGGAAAGUAAUCCUCUGAGGGGCUUGUUCGGGGUAUCUUCACCCCGACCAGUAGAGCAAAGAGUUGCUCCUCAACCUACUGAACCUAUUGAAAAUGAAAUUCCUUAUGAGUAUCCUUCGAGUAUAAUAGAAAAUCUGCUAGCCAAUGCUUUUACAGGAGAUGGAACAAAGCAUCCUGAUGAACACCUAAUAUAUGUGGAUGAAGUUUGUGGAUUAUUUAAGCUUGCAGGUAUUCCUGACGAUGUUUCUAAGAAGAAGGUCUUCCCUUUAUCUUUGAAGGGAGACACAUUGACAUGGUAUAGGCUAUGUGAUGAUAUGGGAUCAUGGAACUAUAGAAGAUUGAAAUUGGAAUUUCAUCAAAAGUAUUACCCUAUGCAUCUUGUUCAUCGUGAUCGCAAUUAUAUAUAUAUUUUUUGGCCUUGCGAAGGAGAAAGCAUCGCUCAAGUUUGGGGGAGGCUUAAAUCAAUGUUAUAUUCAUGCCCCAAUCAUGAGCUUCCAAGAGAAAAAAUUCUUCAAAAAAAUUAUGCUCGGCUUUCUCAUAACAAUCGCACCAUGCUUGAUACUUCUUGUGCUGGCUCUUUUAUGAUGAAGACUAUUGGAUUUAGAUGGGAUUUAUUGGAUAGAAUUAAACGCAACUCUGAAGAUUGGGACCUCGACAAUGUUAAGGAGUCAGGUAUGACACCUAAGUUUGAUUGUGUUAAAUCUUUUAUGGAUACCGAUAUUUUCUAUAAGUUUAGCACUAAAUAUGGACUUGAUUAUGAGAUAGUAGCUUCUUUCUGUGAAUCUUUUGCUACUUAUGUUGAUCUCCCUAAGGAGAAGUGGUUUAAAUAUCAUCCUCCCAUAGAAGUAAAAGUAGCUACACCUAUUAAAGUUGAAGAAAAGACUGUCACUUAUAAUGAUCCUAUUGUUCCUACUUGUUAUGUUGAGAAACCACCUUUCCCUGUUAGGAUAAAGGAUCAUGCUAAAGCUUCAACUGUGGUUCGUAAAAGCAAUAUUAAAACAUAUACACCUCCUGAGCAAGUUAAAGUUGAACCUAAUAUUGCCAUUGUUAAAGAGAUCUUGUCUGAUAAUAUUGAUGGGCAUGUUAUUCAGUUCUACGGUGAAACUUCUAGAAUUGCUAAACCUUGUGCUAAAGAUAAACAUAGACCUAUGGUAGGCGUGCCUGUUAUUUCUGUUAAAAUAGGAGAUCAUUGUUAUCAUGGCUUAUGUGAUAUGGGUGCUAGUGCUAGUGUUAUACCUUAUGACUUGUAUAAAGAAAUCAAGCAUGAAAUUGCACCUGCUGAGUUAGAAGAUAUUGAUGUCACAAUUAAACUUGCUAAUAGAGAUACUCUUUCAGCAAUGGGAAUCGUUAGAGAUGUUGAAGUCUUGUGUGGAAAUACUAAAUAUCCUGCUGAUUUUCUUGUUCUUAGUUCUCCACAAGAUAGCUUUUGUCCCAUUAUAUUUGGUAGGCCCUUCUUGAAUAUAGUUAAUGCUAGGAUAGACCACGAAAAGAAUGUUGUUACUAUUGGUUUGGAUGAUAUGACUCGUGAGUUUAAUUUCUCUAAAUUUAGUAAACAACACCGUGAAGAAGAAUUGCCUAGUAAGGAUGAAAUUAUUGGUCUUGCUUCUAUUGUCGUACCUCCUAAUGAUCCUUUAAAACAAUAUUUGCUAGACCAUGAGAAUGAUAUGUUUAUGAAUGAAAGAAGGGAAAUAGAUGAAGUAUUCUUUAAACAAGAACCUAUGCUAAAACACAAUUUUCCUGUUGAAAUCCUAGGGGAUUCUCCUCCACCUAAGGGUGAUCCCGUGUUUGAGCUUAAACCGUUGCCUAAUAAUCUUAAAUAUGCUUAUCUUGAUGAAAAGAAGAUAUAUCCUGUUAUUAUUAGUGCUAACCUUUCAGAGCAUGAAGAAGAAAGAUUAUUGAAAACUCUGAAGAAGCACCAUGCUGCUAUUGGAUAUACUCUUGAUGAUCUUAAGGGCAUUAGUCCUACUCUAUGUCAACAUAAAAUAAAUUUGGAAGCAGAUGCCAAACCACUUCGUGAUCCUCAACGACGUCUGAAUCCUAAAAUGAAAGAAGUGGUAAGAAAAGAAAUACUAAAGCUUCUAGAGGCAGGUAUAAUUUAUCCCGUUGCUGAUAGUCAGUGGGUAAGUCCUGUUCACUGUGUCCAUAAGAAGGGAGGUAUUACUGUUGUUCCUAAUGAUAAAGAUGAAUUGAUUCCACAAAGAAUUAUUACCGGUUAUAGGAUGGUAAUUUAUUUCCGCAAAUUAAAUAAGGCUACUAAGAAAGAUCAUUACCCCUUACCUUUUAUCGAUCAAAUGCUAGAAAGAUUAUGCAAACAUACACAUUACUGCUUUCUAGAUGGUUAUUCUAGUUUCUCUCAAAUACCUGUGUCGGCUAAAUAUCAAUCAAAGACUACUUUUACAUGCCCUUUUGGUACUUUUGCUUAUAGACGUAUGCCUUUUGGUUUAUGUAAUGCACCUGCUACCUUUCAAAGAUGCAUGAUGGCUAUAUUCUCUGACUUUUGUGAAAAGAUUUGUGAGGUUUUCAUGGACGACUUUUCCGUCUAUGGAUCUUCUUUUGAUGAUUGCUUGAGCAAUCUUGAUCGAGUUUUGCAGAGAUGUGAAGAAACUAAUCUUGUCUUGAAUUGGGAAAAGUGCCACUUUAUGCUUAAUGAAGGUAUUGUCUUGGGGCAUAAAGUUUUUGAAAGAGUUAUUGAAGUUGAUAAAGCCAAGGUUGAUGCUAUUAAAAAGAUGCCAUGUCCCAAGGACAUCAAAGGUAUAAGAAGUUUCCUUGGUCACGCCGGAUUUUAUAGGAGGUUCAUCAAGGACUUCUCGAAAAUUUCUCGGCCUCUAACUAAUUUAUUACAAAAAUAUAUACCAUUUGUCUUUGAUGAUGAUGGUGUAGAAGCAUUUAAAAUACUUAAGAAAGCAUUAGUCUCUGCACCUAUUGUUCAGCCACCUGAUUGGAAUUUACCCUUUGAAAUUAUGUGUGAUGCUAGCGAUUAUGCUAUAGGUGCUGUUCUAGGGCAAAGAGUUGAUAAGAAAUUAAAUGUUAUCCAUUAUGCUAGUAAGACUCUAGACAAUGCUCAAAGAAAUUAUGCUACUACUAAAAAAGAACUUUUAGCAGUUGUAUUUGCUUGUGAUAAGUUCAGACCUUAUAUUGUUGAUUCUAAAGUAACUAUCCACACUGAUCAUGCUGCUAUUAAAUAUCUUAUGGAGAAGAAAGAUGCUAAACCUAGACUUAUUAGAUGGGUUCUCUUGCUACAAGAAUUUGAUUUGCAUAUUGUUGAUAGAAAAGGAGCUGAGAACCCCAUUACAGACAACUUAUCUAGGUUAGAGAAUGUUCUUGAUGACCCACUACCUAUUGAUGAUAGUUUUCCUGAUGAACAAUUAAAUGUCAUAAGUACUUCUCGUAGUACCCCUUGGUAUGCUGAUUAUGCUAAUUACAUAGUUGCUAAAUUUAUACCACCUAGCUUCACAUACCAACAAAAGAAAAAGUUCUUCUAUGAUUUGAGACAUUAAUUUUGGGAUGACCCACAUCUUUAUAAGGAAGGAGUAGAUGGUGUUAUUAGAUGUUGUGUACCUGAGCAUGAACAAGAAAAGAUCCUACGCAAGUGCCACUCCGAAACUUAUGGAGGACACCACGCGGGAGAUAGAACUGCACAUAAGGUAUUGCAAUCCGGUUUUUAUUGGCCUACUCUCUUCAAGGAUGCCCGUAAGUUUGUCCUAUCUUGUGAUGAAUGUCAAAGAAUUGGUAAUAUUAGUAGAUGUCAAGAAAUGCCUAUGAACUAUUCACUUGUUAUUGAACCGUUUGAUGUUUGGGGCUUUGAUUAUAUGGGACCUUUUCCUGCCUCUAAUGGAUAUACACAUAUUUUAGUUGUUGUUGAUUACGUUACUAAGUGGGUAGAAGCUAUUCCAACUAGUAGUGCUGAUCAUAACACUUCUAUUAAAAUGCUUAAAGAAGUUAUUUUUCCAAGGUAUGGAGUCCCUAGAUAUUUAAUGACUGAUGGUGGUUCACAUUUUAUUCAUGGUGCUUUCCGUAAAAUGCUUGCUAAAUAUGAUGUCAAUCAUAGAAUUGCAUCUCCGUAUCACCCACGGUCUAGUGGUCAAGUAGAAUUGAGUAAUAGAGAACUCAAAUUAAUUUUGCAAAAGACUGUCAAUAGGUCUAGAAAGAAUUGGUCCAAGAAACUUGAUGAUGCAUUAUGGGCCUAUAGAACUGCAUAUAAAAAUCCUAUGGGUAUGUCUCCGUAUUAAAUGGUAUAUGGAAAAGCAUGUCACUUACCUCUCGAACUAGAACAUAAGGCAUAUUGGGCUAUUAAAGAGCUCAACUAUGAUUUCAACUUGCCGGUGAAAAGAGGUUAUUUGAUAUUAGCUCACUUGAUGAAUGGAGAACCCAAGCUUAUGAAAAUGCCAAGUUGUUUAAAGAAAAGGUUAAAAGAUGGCAUGACAAAAGGAUACAAAAGCGUGAGUUUAAUGUAGGUGAUUAUGUAUUGCUAUACAACUCUCGUUUAAGAUUUUUUGCAGGGAAACUUCUCUCUAAAUGGGAAGGCCCCUAUGUUAUCGAGGAGGUCUAUCGUUCCGGUGCCAUAAAAAUCAACAACUUCGAAGGCACAAAUCCGAAGGUGGUAAACGGUCAAAGAAUCAAACAUUAUAUCUCAGGUAAUCUCAUAAAUGUUGAAACCAAUAUUAUUGAAACCGUAACCCCGGAGGAAUACAUAAGGGACACUUUCUAGAACGUUUCAGACUCCGAAAAGGAAUAGGUAUGUGAUACGGUAAGUAAACCAACUCCAAAACAAAUUUUAAGGCAAUAUUUCUCCGUUUUGGAAUAUUUAGAAAAAUAGAAAAUUAAGUAGCAGUCCGGGAAGGACACGAGGGCCUCACGAGGGUGGAGGGCGCGCCCUACCCCCCUGGGCACGCCCCCUACCUCGUGAGCUCCUCGUGUGCCUUCCGGACUCCGUUUUCUUGCACGAUACGUAUUUUGGUUAGUAAAAAUUCAUUAUAUAAUCUCCCGGGGGUUUUGACUCCCGUAUCAUGCGGAAAUCCUCUGUUUUUGUUUUGAGUUGUUACUGUUGCAGAUUAGAGCAAGAUGUCUUCUCAAGAGUCAGUCGGGGAGAGCCGAGUAUCUAAUCCGGCACCGGAACCAAGGGUAAACAGCGACCCUGACCACUUUGGGCCAGCAACGGAGGAAGAUAUGGAGGCUGACCUAAUGAGGGUAGAUGCCAUGGAGGAUCAAGAAGUCACCUCUCGCUUCCAAGCCGGAUUCACAAUGGGAGAACUGCAGAGCUCAGCUAUUCCAAACUCGGUUAUCCCUUCCAAUGUUAGAUUUCUUUCUUAUGAGAAUAUGAAAAAGAGUGUCACUGGUUCUCCCGCAGCUAUGCAGCACCCUUGGGUGCAGGGAGCUUUGGCUGUUACAGGAAAACUCCGAAAGGAAAUAAUGGAUCUCAAGCAUCAAGUCAACAAGCUUGAGGAGGAGAAUCGUAUUUUGAAGGGCAUCAUCGCCAAAAACAUCACAUCACCAUCCCCGAAAAGAUAGACAUAAUCACCUGGGUAUGGGCACUCCACUUGGCAACUACCAAUCUUGGGGGAGUGCCCUGGUAUCGUAUCGCCAUCACUUUUGUCUUUACCGUUUUUCUUAGUUCGAUCUUAUUAGUAGUAUUUUGAUCUAGUAUAAUAAAGUUUGUGGCAUGAUCUAGUUGUGAGUUUUGCUUUAUUAUCCUUCUAUGUAAUCGAGUCCGUGAGCUAUAUAAUAAAGAUUAGUGUUGAUUCAAGGGCUUGAUUGUUUUGCCAUGAUCCUAAGUAAAUAAAAUAAAAGAGAAAGAAAUAAAAAGAAACAAAGAGAUCCUAUGGAUCUCAUGGAGAGUAAUGAGCUCACAUAGAAAAAGUAUGAUGAAGAAAAGUUGUUGAGAGUUGACAAGCAUAGUUUUGGUCAUCGUUGCAAUUAAUAGGAAGUAAUAAAGAAAGAGAGGUCUUCACAUAUAGAUAUACGAUCUUGGACAUCUUUUAUGAUCGUGAGCACUCAUUAAAAUAUGACAUGCUAAAGAGUUGACAUUGGACAAGGAAGACAAUGUAAUGGGUUAUGUUUUCUUACAUCUGAGAUAAAUUAUAUUGUCUUGGAUCUUCCAACAUGAUGAGCUUGCCUUUUCCCCUCAUGCUAGCCAAAUUCAUUGCACCAAGUAGAGAUACUACUUGUGCUUCCAAAUACCCUUAAACCAGUUUUGCCAUGAGAGUCCACCAUAUCUACCUAUGGAUUGAAUAAGCUCCUUCAAGUAAGUUGUCAUUGGUGCAAAGCAAUAAAAAUUGCUCUCUAAAUAUGUAUGAUUGAUUGGUGUGGGAGAAAUAAGCUUUAUACGAUCUUGUGAUGUGGAAGUAAUAAAAGCGACGGACUGCAUAAUAAAGGUUCAUAUCACUGAAGGAAAUAUGCCCUAGAGGCAAUAAUAAAGUUAUUAUUUAUUUCCUUAUAUCAUGAUAAAUGUUUAUUAUUCAUGCUAGAAUUGUAUUAACCGGAAACAUAAUACAUGUGUGAAUACAUAGACAAACAAAGUGUCACUAGUAUGCCUCUACUUGACUAGCUCGUUAAUCAAAGAUGGUUAUGUUUCCUAACCAUGAAUAAAGAGUUGUUAUUUGAUUAACGGGAUCACAUCAUUAAGUGAAUGAUCUGAUUGACAUGACCCAUUCCAUUAGCUUAGCACCCGAUCGUUUAGUAUGUUGCUAUUGCUUUCUUCAUGACUUAUACAUGUUCCUAUGACUAUGAGAUUAUGCAACUCCCGUUUGCCAGAGGAACACUUUGUGUGCUACCAAACGUCACAACGUAACUGGGUGAUUAUAAAGGACCUCUACAGGUGUCUCCAAAGGUACAUGUUGGGUUGGCGUAUUUCGAGAUUAGGAUUUGUCACUCCGAUUGUCGGAGAGGUAUCUCUGGGCCCUCUCGGUAAUGCACAUCACUUAAGCCUUGCAAGCAUUGCAACUAAUGAGUUAGUUGCGGGAUGAUGUAUUACAGAACGAGUAAAGAGACUUGCCGGUAACGAGAUUGAACUAGGUAUUGGAAUACCGACGAUCGAAUCUCGGGCAAGUAACAUACCGAUGACAAAGGGAACAACAUAUGUUGUUAUGCGGUCUGACCGAUAAAGAUCUUCGUAGAAUAUGUAGGAGCCAAUAUGGGCAUCCAGGUCCCGCUAUUGGUUAUUGACCAGAGACAUGUCUCGGUCAUGUCUACAAUGUUCUCGAACCCGUAGGGUCCGCACGCUUAAGGUUACGAUGACUGUUAUAUUAUGAGUUUAUGCAUUUUGAUGUACCGAAGGUUGUUCGGAGUCCCGGAUGUGAUCACGGACAUGACGAGGAGUCUCGAAAUGGUCGAGACAUAAAGAUUGAUAUAUUGGAAGCCUAUAUUUGGAUAUCGGAAGUGUUCCGAGUGAAAUCGGGAUUUUACCGGAGUACCGGGAGGUUACCGGAACCCCCCGGGAGCUAUAUGGGCCAUAGUGGGCCUUAGUGGAAAAGAGAAGGGGCUGCCCAAAGUGGGCCGCGCGCCCCUCCCCUCCCUUGGUCCGAAUAGGACAAGGAGAGGGGGCCGGCCACCCUUUCUCUCUUCCUCCCUCCGCGAAUCCUAGUCCAACUAGGAUUGGGGGGGGGGGGGNNNNNNNNNNNNNNNNNNNNNNNNNNNNNNNNNNNNNNNNNNNNNNNNNNNNNNNNNNNNNNNNNNNNNNNNNNNNNNNNNNNNNNNNNNNNNNNNNNNNNNNNNNNNNNNNNNNNNNNNNNNNNNNNNNNNNNNNNNNNNNNNNNNNNNNNNNNNNNNNNNNNNNNNNNNNNNNNNNNNNNNNNNNNNNNNNNNNNNNNNNNNNNNNUAGGCCGGCCGCACCCCCCUUUUAGUCCUUUAUAUACGGAGGCAGGGGCACCCCAGAGAGACACAAGUUGAUCCACGUGAUCAUAUUCUUAGCCGUGUGCGGCGCCCCCUGCCACCAUAGUCCUCGAUAAUAUUGUAGCGGUGUUUAGGUGAAGCCCUGCGACAGUAGUAAGAUCGUCACCACGCCGUCAUGCUGACGGAACUCUUCCCCGACACUUUGCUGGAUCGGAGUCCGGGGAUCGUCAUCGAGCUGAACGUGUGCUAGAACUCGGAGGUGCCGUAGUUUCCGUGCUUGAUCGGUCGGGCCGUGAAGACGUACGACUACAUCAACCAAACGCUUCCGUUGUCGAUCUACGAGGUACGUAGAUCACACUCUCCCCUCGUUGCUAUGCAUCACCAUGAUCUUGCGUGUGCGUAGGAAGUUUUUUGAAAUUACUACGUUCCCCAACAGUGGCAUCGGAGCCUAGGUUUUAUAUGUUGAUGUUAUUUGCACGAGUAGAACACAAGUGAGUUGUGGGCGAUAUAAGUCAUACUGCUUACCAGCAUGUCAUACUUUGGUUCGGCGGUAUUGUUGGACGAAGCGGCCCAGACAAACAUUACGCGUACGCUUACGCGAGACCGGUUCUCCCGACGUGCUUUGCACAGAGGUGGCUUGUGGGUGACAGUUUCUCCAACUUUAGUUGAACCAAGUGUGGCUACGCCCGGUCCUUGCGAAGGUUAAAACAGCACCAACUUGACAAACUAUCGUUGUGGUUUUGAUGCGUAGGUAAGAUUAGUUCUUGCUUAAGCCCGUAGCAGCCACGUAAAACUUGCAACAACAAAGUAGAGGACGUCUACCUUGUUUUUGCAGGGCAUGUUGUGAUGUGAUAUGGUCAAGACAUGAUGCUGAAUUUUAUUGUAUGAGAUGAUCAUGUUUUGUAACAGAGUUAUCGGCAACUGGCAGGAGCCAUAUGGUUGUCGCUUUAUUGUAUGCAAUGCAAUCGCGAUGUAAUGCUUUACUUUAUCACUAAGCGGUAGCGAUAGUCGUGGAAACACAAGCUUGGCGAGACGACAACGAUGCUACGAUGGAGAUCAAGGUGUCACGCCGGUGACGAUGGUGAUCAUGACGGUGCUUCGGAGAUGGAGAUCACAAGCACAAGAUGAUGAUGACCAUAUCAUAUCACUUAUAUUGAUUGCAUGUGAUGUUUAUCUUUUAUGCAUCUUAUCUUGCUUUGAUUGACGGUAGCAUUAUAAGAUGAUCUCUCACUAAUUAUCAAGAAGUGUUCUCCCUGAGUAUGCACCGUUGCGAAAGUUCUUCGUGCUGAGACACCACGUGAUGAUCGGGUGUGAUAGGUUCUACGUUCAAAUACAACGGGUGCAAAACAGCUGCACACGCGGAAUACUCAGGUUAUACUUGACGAGCCAAGCAUAUACAGAUAUGGCCUCGGAACACGGAGACCGAAAGGUCGAGCGUGAAUCAUAUAGUAGAUAUGAUCAACAUAGUGAUGUUCACCAAUGAAACUACUCCAUCUCACGUGAUGAUCGGACAUGGUUUAGUUGAUUUGGAUCACGUAAUCACUUAGAGGAUUAGAGGGAUGUCUAUCUAAGUGGGAGUUCUUUAAGUAAAUUAACUGAACUUAAAUUUAUCAUGAAACUUAGUACCUGAUAAGUAUCUUGCUUGUUUAUGCUUGAUUGUAGAUAGAUGGCUCAUGCUGUUGUUCCGUUGAAUUUUAAUGCGUUCCUUGAGAAAGCAAAGUUGAAAGAUGAUGGUAGCAAUUACACGGACUGGGUCCGUAACUUGAGGAUUAUCCUCAUUGCUGCACAGAAGAAUUACGUCCUGGAAGCACCGCUGGGUGCCAGGCCUGCUGCUGGAGCAACGCCAGAUGUUAUGAACAUCUGGCAGAGCAAAGCUGAUGACUACUCAAUAGUUCAGUGUGCCAUGCUUUACGGCUUAGAAUCGGGACAUCAACGGCGUUUUGAACGUCAUGGAGCAUAUGAGAUGUUCCAAGAGUUGAAGUUAAUAUUUCAAGCAAAUGCCCGGAUUGAGAGAUAUGAAGUCUCCAAUAAGUUCUAUAGCUGUAAGAUGGAGGAGAACAGUUCUGUUAGUGAGCAUAUACUCAAAAUGUCUGGGUAUAACAAUCACUUGAUUCAAUUGGGAGUUAAUCUUCCGGAUGAUUGCGUCAUUGACAGAAUUCUCCAAUCACUGCCACCAAGCUACAAGAGCUUCGUGAUGAACUAUAAUAUGCAAGGGAUGAAUAAGACUAUUCCUGAGCUCUUCGCGAUGCUGAAGGCUGCGGAGGUAGAAAUCAAGAAGGAGCAUCAAGUGUUGAUGGUCAACAAGACCACUAGUUUCAAGAAAAAGGGCAAAGGGAAGAAGAAGGGAAACUUCAAAAAGAACAGCAAGCAAGUUGCUACUCAAGAGAAGAAACCCAAACCUGGACCUAAGCUUGAAACUGAGUGGUUCUACUGCAAGCAGACUGGUCACUGGAAGCGGAAUUGCCCCAAGUAUUUGGCGGAUAAGAAGGAUGGCAAGGUGAACAAAGGUAUAUGUGAUAUACAUGUUAUUGAUGUGUCCCUUACUAAUGCUCGCAGUAGCACCUGGGUAUUUGAUACUGGUUCUGUUGCUAAUAUUUGCAACUCGAAACAGGGACUACGGAUUAAGCGAAGAUUGGCUAAGGACGAGGUGACGAUGCGCGUGGGAAACGGUUCCAAAGUCGAUGUGAUCGCAGUCGGCACGCUACCUCUGCAUCUACCUUCGGGAUUAAUAUUAGACCUAAAUAAUUGUUAUUUGGUGCCAGCGUUAAGCAUGAACAUUAUAUCUAGAUCUUGUUUGAUGCGAGAUGGUUAUUCAUUUAAAUCAGAGAAUAAAGGUUGUUCUAUUUAUAUGAGUAAUAUCUUUUAUGGUCAUGCACCCUUGAAGAGUGGUCUAUUCUUACUGAAUCUCGAUAGUAGUAACACACAUAUUCAUAAUGUUGAAACCAAAAGAUGCAGAGUUGAUAAUGAUAGUGCAAUAUAUUUGUGGCACUGCCGUUUAGGUCAUAUCGGUGUAAAGCGCGUGAAGAAACUCCAUACUGAUGGACUUUUGGAACCACUUGAUUAUGAAUCACUUGGUACUUGCGAACCGUGCCUCAUGGGCAAGAUGACCAAAACACCAUUCUCCGGUACUAUGGAGAGAGCAACAGAUUUGUUGGAAAUCAUACAUACAUAUGUAUGUGGUCCGAUGAAUAUUGAAGCUCGUGGCGGAUGAAUAUUGUUCGGAGUCCCGGAUGUGAUCACGGACAUGACGAGUAGUCUCGAAAUGGUCGAGACAUAAAGAUUGAUAUAUUGGAAGCCUAUAUUUGGAUAUCGGAAGUGUUCCGAGUGAAAUCGGGAUUUUACCGGAGUACCGGGAGGUUACCGGAACCCCCCCGGGAGCUAUAUGGGCCAUAGUGGGCCUUAGUGGAAAAGAGAAGGGGCUGCCCAAAGUGGGCCGCGCGCCCCUCCCCUCCCUUGGUCCGAAUAGGACAAGGAGAGGGGGCCGGCCACCCUCUCUCUUUUCCCCCCUCUGCGAAUCCUAUUCCAACUAGGAUUGGGGGGGGGGGGGGAAUCCUACUGCCAGAGGGAGUAGGACUCUCUUGGCGCGCCUCUCCUAGGCCGGCCGCACCCCCCCUUUUAGUCCUUUAUAUACGGAGGCAGGGGCACCCCAGAGAGACACAAGUUGAUCCACGUGAUCAUAUUCUUAGCCAUGUGCGGCGCCCCCUGCCACCAUAGUCCUCGAUAAUAUUAUAGCGGUGUUUAGGCGAAGCCCUACGACAGUAGUGCAUCAAGAUCAUCACCACGCCGUUGUGCUGACGGAACUCUUCCCCGACACUUUGCUGGAUCGGAGUCCGGGGAUCGUCAUCGAGCUGAACGUGUGCUAGAACUCGGAGGUGCCGUAGUUUCGGUGCUUGAUCGGUCGAGCCGUGAAGACGUACGACUACAUCAACCAAACGCUUCCGUUGUCGAUCUACGAGGUACGUAGAUCACACUCUCCCCUCGUUGCUAUGCAUCACCAUGAUCUUGCGUGUGCGUAGGAAUUUUUUUGAAAUUACUACGUUCCCCAACAAUCACAAGGGGCAAUAUAAAGUGACGUUCUUUCACAUUAAGAUUUUGUGCAUCCAACCAUAAAAGCGCAUGGCAACCUCUGCUUCCCUCUGCGAAGGGCCUAUCUUUUAUCAUUAUCUUCUACCUUAUGCAAGAGUCAUGGUGAUCUUCACGCUUCCUUUUUACAUUUUAUCCUUUGGCAAGCAUAGUAUGUUGGAAAGAUCCUGGUAUAUAUGGCUAAUUGGAUGUGAGUUUUCAUGAACUAUUACUGUUGACAUUACCCUUGAGGUAAAACGUUGGGAGGCAAGACUAUAAGCCCCUAUCUUUCUCUGUGUCCGAUUAAAACUCCACACCCAUAAGUAUUGCGUGAGUGUCAGCAAUUGUGAAAGAUUAUAUGAUAGUUGAGUAUAUGGACUUGCUGAAAAGCUCUUAUACAUUGACUCUUUCCUAUGUUAUGAUAAAUUGCAAUUGCUUCAAUGACCGAGAUUGUAGUUUGUUAGUUUUCAAUGAAGUUUACGAUUCAUACUUGAUAUUGUGAUUGAAUUAUUACUCUAGCAUUAGAGAUCAUAUGACAAAAAUUAUAUAAGUUGUUGUUGUAAGAAUGAUCAUGAUGCCCCCAUGUCCGUAUUUUAUUUUUAUCUACACCUUCAUCUCUAAACAUGUGGACAUAUUUUUCGAUUUCGGCUUUUCACUUGAGGACAAGCGAGGUCUAAGCUUGGGGGAGUUGAUACGUCCAUUUUGCAUCAUGCUUUUAUAUCAAUAUUUAUCGCAUUAUGGACUGUUAUUUCACUUUAUAUCACAAUACUUAUGGCUAUUCUCUCUUAUUUUACAAGGUUUACAUAAGGAGGGAGAAUGCCGGCAGCUGGAAUUCUGGGCUGGAAAAGGAGCAAAUAUUAGAGACCUAUUCUACACAACUCCAAAAGUCCUGAAACUCCACGGAACACCUUAUAAUAAACAAUGAAAAAUCCUUGCCAAAUAUGAAGACCAGGGGGCCCACACCCUUUUCACGAGGGUGGGGGGUGCCCCCCUACGGUGCGCCCCCUACCUCGUGGGCCCCCUGGUGGCUCUCUGAUAACCCACAAGUAUAGGGGACCGCAACAACUUUCGAGGAUAGAGUAUUCAACCCAAAUUUAUUGAUUCGACACAAGGGGAGCCAAACAAUAUUCUCAAGUAUUAGCAGCUGAGUUGUCAAUUCAACCACACCUGGAAACUUAGUAUCUGCAGCAAAGUGUUUAGUAGCACAGUAAUAUGAUAGUGGUGGUAGCAGCAACAAAAGUAAAGACAGUAAAAGUAAUGUUUUUGGUAUUUUGUAGUGAUUGUAACAGUAGCAACGGGAAAGUAAAUAAGCGUAAACCAGUAUAUGGAAAACUCGUAGGCACCGGAUCAGUGAUGGAUAAUUAUGCCGGAUGCGGUUCAUCAUGUAACAGUCAUAACAUAGGGUGACACAGAACUAGUUCCAAUUCAUCAAUGUAAUGUAGGCAUGUAUUCCGUAUAUAGUCAUACGUGCUUACGGAAAAGAACUUGCAUGACAUCUUUUGUCCUACCCUCCCGUGGCAGCGGGGUCCUAUCGGAAACUAAGGGAUAUUAAGGCCUCCUUUUAAUAGAGAACCAGAACAAAGCAUUAGCACAUAGUGAAUACAUGAACUCCUCAAACUAUGGUCAUCACCGGGAGUGGUCCCGAUUAUUGUCACUUCGGGGUUGCCGGAUCAUAACACAUAGUAGGUGACUAUAGACUUGCAAUAUAGGAUCAAUAACUCACAUAUAUUCAUGAAAACAUAAUAGGUUCAGAUCUGAAAUCAUCGCACUCGGGCCCUAGUGACAAGCAUUAAGCAUAGCAAAGUCAUAGCAAUAUCAAUCUCAGAACAUAGUGGAUACUAGGGGAUCAAACCCUAACAAAACUAACUCCAUUACAUGAUAAAUCUCAUCCAACCCAUCACUGUCCAGCAAGCCUACGAUGGAAUUACUCACGCACGGCGGUGAGCAUCAUGAAAUUGGUGAUGGAGGAUGGUUGAUGAUGACGACGGCGACAAAUCCCCCUCUCUAGAGCCCCGAACGGACUCCAGAUCAGCCCUCCGAAGAGGUUUUAGGGCUUGGCGGCGGCUCCGUAUCGUAAAAUGUGAUGAUUUCUUCUCUUUAAUUUUUUUCUCUCCGAAAGCAAAUAUAUAGAGUUGGAGUUGGCAUCGGAGGGCAUCCAGGGGGCCCACGAGGUAGGGGGGCGCGCCCUAGAGGGGGCGGGGGCGGGGGCGCCCCCCACCCUCGUGGACAGGGUGUGGGCCCCUGGUCUUCAUCUUUGGCGAGGAUUUAUUAUUAUUUUUUCUAAGAUGUUCCGUGGAGUUUCAGGUCAUUCCGAGAAUAUUUGUUUUCUGCACAUAAAACAACAUCAUGGCAAUUCUGCUGAAAACAGCGUCAGUCCGGGUUAGUUCCAUUCAAAUCAUACAAGUUAGAUUCCAAAAUAAGGGCAAAAGUGUUUGGAAAAGUAGAUACGAUGGAGACGUAUCAACUCCCCCAAGCUUAUACCCUUGCUUGUCCUUAAGCAAUUCAGUUGACAAAUUGAAAGAAUGAAAGAAAAACUUUUACAAACUCUGUUUGCUCUUAUUGUUGUAACUAUGUCAAGCCAGCAUUCAAGUUUUCAGCAUAUAUGAUAACUAACCACAUUUGAAAUAAUUCUCAGGUCUCAUAAUUACUCAUAUCAAUAGCAUAAUCAACUAGCAAGCCAUAAUAAUAAAUCUCGGACGACAACACUUUCUCAAAACAAUCAUAAUAUGAUAUAACAAGAUGGUAUCUCGCUAGCCCUUUCCGAGACCGCAAAACAUAAAUGCAGAGCACCUUUAAAGAUCAAAGACUGACUAGAUAUUGUAAUUCAUGGUAAAAGAGAUCCAAUCAUAGUCACACCCAACAUAGAUUAAUAGUGAUGAAUGCAAAUGACAGCUGUGCUCUCCAGCUAGUGCUUUUCAAUAAGAGGGUGAUGACUCAACAUAAAAGUAAAUGGAUAGGCCCUUCACAGAGGGAAGCAGGGAUUUGUAGAGGUGCCAGAGCUCGGUUUUGAAAUAGAGAUAAAUUGUAUUUUGAGUGGUAUACUUUCAUUGUCAACGUAACAACUAAGAGAUGGCGAUAUCUUCCAUGCUAAACACAUUAUAGGCGGUUCCCAAACAGAAUGGUAAAGUUUAUACUUCCCCUCCACCAACAAGCAUCAAUCCAUGACUUGCUCGAAACAACGAGUGUCUCCAACAUACAUCAGGUCCCAGGGGGAGUUUUGUUUACAAUUAAUUUUGAUUUAGUUUGCAUAAAGCAUGGGACUGGGCAUCCCGGUGACCAGCCAUUUUCUCGUGAGUGAGGAGCGGAGUCCACUCCUCUUGAGAAUAACCCGCCUAACACGGAAGAUAAGGACAGCCUUGGUUGAUACAUGAGCUAUUCGAGCAUACAAAAUAGAAUGUUUAUUUGAAGGUUUAGAGUUUGGCACACACAAAUUUACUUGGAACGGCAGGUAGAUACCGCAUAUAGGAAGGUAUAGUGGACUCAUCUGGAAUAACUCUGGGGUUUAAGGGAUUGGAUGCACAAGCAGUAUUCCCGCUUAGUACAAGUGAAGGCUAGCAAAAGACUGGGAAGCGACCAACUAGAGAGCGACAACAGCCAUGUACAUGCAUUAAAAUUAAUAAACAUUGGAUGCAAGCAUGAGUAGGAUAUAAUCCACCAUGAACAUAAAUAUCGUGAAGGCUAUGUUGAUUUUGUUUCAACUACAUGCGUGAACAUGUGCCAAGUCAAGUCACUUAAAUCAUUCAAAGGAGGAUACCACCCCAUCAUACCGCAUCAUAACCAUCUCAAUAGCAUGUUGGCAUGCAAGGUAAACCAUUAUAACUCAUAGCUAAUCAAGCAUGGCACAAGCAACUAUGAUCUCUAAUUGUCAUUGCAAACAUGUUUAUUCAUAAUAAGCUGAAUCAAGAACGAGGGGCUCAUUAUAUUUACAAAAACAAAAGAGGUCGAGUUCAUACCAGCUUUUCUCAUCUCAGUCAGCCCAUCAUAUAUCAUCAUAAUUGCCUUUCACUUGCACGACCGAACGAUGUGAAUAAUAAUAAGAGUGCAUGUGCAUUGGACUAAGCUGGAAUCUGCGAGCAUUCAAUAAAUAAGAGAAGACAAGGCAAUAUGAGCUCUGGGUUAAUUCAACAAUAAUGCAUAUAAGAGCCACUUCAACAAUUUAAUUCUAGUCUUCUCCUACUGACCCCCAAAGAAAAGAAAAUAAAUAAAACUAUUUACACGGGAAAGCUCCCAACAAGCAAAAGAAAAACGGGAAAUAUUUUUGGGUUUCCUUUUUAAUUAUUACUACUACAGCAAAAAAAA